rnacentral:rRNA from 1 species
UACGUAGGUGGCAAGCGUUGUCCGGAUUUACUGGGCGUAAAGAGCGCGCAGGCGGUCGUUCAAGUCGCGUGUUAAAGCCCCCGGCUCAACUGGGGAGGGUCACGCGAUACUGAUCGACUCGAAGGCAGGAGAGGGUAGUGGAAUUCCCGGUGUAGUGGUGAAAUGCGUAGAUAUCGGGAGGAACAGCAGUGGCGAAGGCGGCUCACUGGACUGGUAUUGACGCUGAGGUGCGAAAGCGUGGGGAGCAAACAGG